GCUGCAGGCUGCCCUCUUUCUUAUGACUAUUUUAGUCACAUGUCUACGUUAACUGACGGACACUGGUAAACUUUCCCGGGAACAGAGCUGGGUAGAAGAGACAAGUGUCCUGUAUUGGGAGAUGGGAAACGCUAUGCUACUUACACUAAACUUGUGCGCAGGAGGUUACUUUGUGCGGGUGUCCUGUAGCAGGUGACUUUCUCUAAACGUUAUCUAUUUUGCACUAAUAAGGCUAUCAGCCCAUCUUUUACCGCAACUGGAUAAUCUAGAAACGGCUAUGCAACAUCAGAUGAUGCAGCUUUACGUCCGGACCCCCUCGGUCUCUAGGCCACAGGAUUAAAAGCAAAGCACGCAGCGCCAGGUCUCGGCAGAUCAACAGGGCAAUGGAAAAGGAAAACAUUUCAAAGCUCUUUGUACAAAGAAGGAAAAAUACUUCAUCCUACGCUAUCAGGUUGCAAUAAAAAGAAAAAAACUUUAA